rnacentral:tRNA from 1 species
UCCCUGAUGGUCCAGUGGUUAGGACUCUCUACUUUCACUGCUGAGGGUGUGGGUUCAAACCCUGGUCAGGGAA